UACGGAGGAGGCAAGCGUUAUCCGGAAUUAUUGGGCGUAAAGCGUCCGCAGGUGGCACUUCAAGUCUGUCGUCAAAGACUGGGGCUUAACCCUGGAAAGGCUGUGGAAACUGAAGCGCUAGAGUGCGGUAGGGGUAGAGGGAAUUCCCGGUGUAGCGGUGAAAUGCGUAGAGAUCGGGAAGAACAUCGGUGGCGAAAGCGCUCUACUGGACCGCAACUGACACUCAGGGACGAAAGCUAGGGGAGCGAAUGGG
rnacentral:rRNA from 1 species